GAGGAUGUAGCUCAAUGGUAGAGCACUUGCCUUGCACGCAUGAGGCCCAGUGUUCAAUACCCAGUGUUAUCC
rnacentral:tRNA from 1 species